GAUGAACGCUGGCGGCGUGCCUAAUACAUGCAAGUCGAGCGAACGGACGAGAAGCUUGCUUCUCUGAUGUUAGCGGCGGACGGGUGAGUAACACGUGGAUAACCUACCUAUAAGACUGGGAUAACUUCGGGAAACCGGAGCUAAGACCGGAUGAUAUUUUGAACCGCAUGGUUCAAAAGUGAAAGACGGUCUUGCUGUCACUUAUAGAUGGAUCCGCGCUGCAUUGCUAGUUGGUAAGGUAACGGCUUACCAAGGCAACGAUGCAUAGCCGACCUGAGAGGGUGAUCGGCCACACUGGAACUGAGACACGGUCCAGACUCCUACGGGAGGCAGCAGUAGGGAAUCUUCCGCAAUGGGCGAAAGCCUGACGGAGCAACGCCGCGUGAGUGAUAAAGGUCUUCGGAUCGUAAAACUCUGUUAUUAGGGAAGAACAUAUGUGUAAGUAACUGUGCACAUCUUGACGGUACCUAAUCAGAAAGCCACGGCUAACUACGUG
rnacentral:rRNA from 1 species